rnacentral:rRNA from 1 species
GACGAACGCUGGCGGCGUGCUUAACACAUGCAAGUCGAACGGAAAGGCCUCAGCUUGCUGGGGUACUCGAGUGGCGAACGGGUGAGUAACACGUGGGUGAUCUGCCUUGCACUCUGGGAUAAGCUUGGGAAACUGGGUCUAAUACCGGAUAUGAACUGCCUUUAGUGUGGUGGUUGGAAAGUUUUUUCGGUGCAAGAUGAGCUCGCGGGCUAUCAGCUUGUUGGUGGGGGAAUGGCCUACCAAGGCGUCGACGGGUAGCCGGCCUGAGGGGGUGUACGGCGACAAAGGGACUUAGGGACGGCCCAGACGCGUACGGUAGGCAACAGGGGGGAAUAUUGCACAAUAGGCGGAAGCCUGAUGCAGCGGCGCUGCGUGUGGGAAAACGGCUUUCUGGUGAAAAACGCCUGUCAGCAUGGACAAAGCUUUUUGUGACGGUACCUGUAUAAGAAGCACCGGCUAACUACGUG